rnacentral:rRNA from 1 species
UAAGGAAUAUUGGUCAAUGGACGCAAGUCUGAACCAGCCAUGCCGCGUGGAGGAUGAAGGCCCUCUGGGUUGUAAACUUCUUUUAUCUGGGACGAAACCCAUCCAUUCUUGGGUGAUUGACGGUACCAGAGGAAUAAGCACCGGCUAACUCCGUGCCAGCAGCCGCGGUAAUACGGAGGGUGCAAGCGUUAUCCGGAUUCACUGGGUUUAAAGGGUGCGUAGGCGGGCAGGUAAGUCAGUGGUGAAAUCUCCAAGCUUAACUUGGAAACUGCCGUUGAUACUAUCUGUCUUGAAUACUGUGGAGGUGAGCGGAAUAUGUCAUGUAGCGGUGAAAUGCUUAGAUAUGACAUAGAACACCAAUUGCGAAGGCAGCUCACUACACAGCCAUUGACGCUGAGGCACGAAAGCGUGGGGAUCAAACAGG